GCCUGCGUGGCUCAGUUGGUUAAGCGUCCGACUUCAGCUCAGGUCAUGGUCUCUGAGUUUGUGAGUUCAAGUCUCGCAGUGGGCU
rnacentral:tRNA from 1 species